AGAGUUUGAUCCUGGCUCAGGAUGAACGCUGGCGGCGUGGAUAAGGCAUGCAAGUCAAGGGGUCCUUCGGGACACCGGCAAACGGGGUAGUAACAGGUAGGAACAUACCCAGAAGUCAGGAAUAGCUCAUCGAAAGGUGGGGUAAUACUUGAUAGUCUCGUAAGAGUAAAGCUUCGGCGCUUCUGGAAUGGCCUGCUUCGUAUCAGCUUGUUGGUGAGGUAAAAGCUCACCAAGGCUAUGACGCGUAGGGGAGGUGAGAGCCUGACCCCCACCAUUGGCACUGAGACACUGGCCAAACACCUACGGGUGGCUGCAGUCGAGAAUCUUCCGCAAUGCACGAGAGUGUGACGGAGCGACGCCGCGUGAUCGAUGAAGCACUUCGGUGUGUAAAGGUCUUUUAUAGGGGAAGAAGUUUAUUGACGGUACCUUAUGAAUAAGGGGUUCCUAAACUCGUGCCAGCAGGAGCGGUAAUACGAGUGCCCCAAGCGUUAUCCGGAAUUAUUGGGCGUAAAGGGUGCGUAGGCGGUUGUGUUAGUCUCUGUUAAAAUCUUUCGGCUUAACCGAGAGUCCGGCAGAGAAACGGCACGACUUGAGGAUGUGAGAGGUGUGUGGAACUCACGGUGUAGGGGUGAAAUCCGUUGAUAUCGUGGGGAACGCCAAAGGCGAAGGCAGCACACUGGCACAUUCCUGACGCUGAGGCACGAAAGCCAGGGUAGCGAAGCGGAUUAGAUACCCGCGUAGUCCUGGCCCUAAACGUUGUCCGCUAGCUUUUGGGAGUAUCGACCCUCUCAGAGGCGAAGCUAACGCGUUAAGCGGACCGCCUGGGUAGUACGAGCGCAAGCUUAAAACUCAAAGGAAUAGACGGGGGCUCGCACAAGCGGUGGAGCGUGUGGUUUAAUUCGACGCUAAGCGAAGAACCUCACCAAGGCUAGACAUCUAGACGAACUCUCUGAGAAACCAGAGGGGUCUUCGGACGGCUAGACAGGUGAUGCAUGGCUGUCGUCAGUUCGUGGCUUGACCUGUUCCCUUAAGUGGGGUAACGAACGCAACCCUUAUCGUGUGUUACAAGUGUCACACGAGACUGCUGUCUCACGACAGAGGAAGGUGAGGAUGACGCCAAGUCAGCAUGUCCCUUGAUGCCUUUGGCUACACACGCGCUACAAUGGUACAUACAGUGGGUCGCGACGGGGUAACCCUGAGCUAAUCCUCCAAAGUGUGCCUCAGUUCGGAUAGAGGUCUGCAACUCGACCUCUUGAAGUUGGAAUCGCUAGUAAUCGUGGGUCAGCACACCACGGUGAAUACGUUCUCGAGCCUUGUACUCACCGCCCGUCACGUCAAGGGAGUUGGGGGUACCCGAAGUUCGGCCCUCGGGCCGGCCGAAGGUAAAUUCAAUGACAGGGACGAAGUCGUAACAAGGUAACC
rnacentral:rRNA from 1 species